CUGGAGCCAGCGCAGGACGGUACGAGACAGGCGGGAGCUCCUCGGGGGAUGCGGAUACAUCACACAUUUCUUAGGCUUCUUUCGGACGGAAACCGCUGACGGUAAAGGUCCUCCCCCCACCGUGAAGUGAUGAGCAGAACAGUCACAUGGCUGUCACAGGACUGGACACUCCAAGGGAACACCUUGGACACAUCUUCAUGUUACAGAAGCAGCGAUGGAUUUUGAAGCAAACUGAAGCUGCAACAUAUUUGAAGCCUAGAGUCUCCCGACUUCACAGGUGCUAGAAGGCCUUGGGUGUUUAAGCCAUGUGGCCUAGACAAUGUCUACUUCAGGACUGGUGGUUUGAACUGAAUACUGUUAUCUAAAUAGUUCCCCUGGUGAACCUGAGAUCCAUAGAGAACUGAUGGAAGAAUCUGAUUAAGAAAUCACUGUACCUGAUGUGGGGGUUGGAGUCACCACAGACGACCUCACUAAUCGAUAACUCUGAGUGCGUAUGUGAAGUGGAGGAAGCCAAAUCUGAAGCAGAACCUACAAGGAAAGCCUGCAACCAUCUCUGUCCCUGAAUAUGCUCUUACUCUAUGACAGGCGACAAGAGGAGAGCUGGUGUCCUCCAUAAAACUGUUUAUAGGCCUGACUUGGGGACACCAGCAGAUUGAAAGGGGGAGAUCAGGUGGAGCAUAGGUAGCUGUAGAUCUGGAUGUCUGAACUGACUAGUGGCAUUUGCAAACAGCCACAAUACCUGCUGCCCUACACUAACUCCACAGGGUAAAACUGGCCGCUUUGUUAUGCUGCUAGCGAAACUUAUACUAACUGGUCUGGCCAAUUCAAUACAGAAAACACACACACACACACACACACACACACACACACACACACACACACACACACACACACACACACACACAAAUGAGAGUAGUUCUAGCAUAAUGAAGGCAACACAUCACAAAACCUCACCAAGUGGCAGCUAAACAACACCAAGAAGAGAACCACAGCUGGAAUGGUUUUAAAAUAGAGGAGGUUGUUACCAGAAAGCAUACAGCUCUAACAGGCAGAAGCCAAAAGUGUCCUUUCUGAUGACCUUUAUUCCAUGCUGAAUAUUGUUGGGUCGCUCUCCCUGACUGUCUACAUCUUCUCAAUACCUGCUCUACUAGUAAGAGCAGUGGUUCUCCCAUGUACACCAAGGAGUAAGUGUUCAUCUUUGUGGACAAAAAGGACACUAAAAAUGAUCUAGCAGCAUUUUCUAAGUCCAUUUAAGUGUGUUUGGUGGAGGUGAUGGAAGCAAAUGCAAAUAAGAUAACUUGACCCACCAUGUGCUCCAACUCAGCGCGGGAGAUACUUGAGAAGAAGUACAUGAUGGAAGUAUCUAUCAUUUGCAAGUCCAUAAGAAGAGCCCUAAAAUAAUUGCCAUUUGCAGAUCUGUUGAGUACAUUCUGGAAGUUCAGAGAAAUGAUGGGUUGGCCGAGGUCAUGAGCACAACCAUGUCAAGAGAUAACUGGGGCUCUCUAUGCUGAAAGCUUUCGUGGUACAGAAAUAAUUAACUACAAGUCAAAAUAUGAAGAACGUAUUACAUUUUAGAACUAGAAGCAGACUUAGGUACUGUCUACUCCAGAGGCUCACAAAACACCUUCAGAAAGCCUUAGGCACUUAAGAGAACUGCCAGAGGGUGCUGGGAUGUGCAGCACAGUGUCUUCACACAGAGGAGCGUCCAAGGUAUCAGCUUCUGAAGUGAACUUCCAGAUCAUUUCAAAAGAAAGGGUCGAUGAGGUUGGGGGUAAGUGGGUGGGAUUCAAACACAACUGAUCCUGUCUCACGAAUUUUGCUGAUGAAACUGAUGUUAAGAAAAGUAAAGUGUUAGGCUACGUUACCACCAAGAUUAAGAGCAAAGCAACAGUGAAUCUAGGGUUUCUGAUGUUACCUUAAGCUCUUUCUACCAUACUAUUUUGCUACCCGGCACUACAGGCUAACAUAUCUGAACCAGCGAAUACAAAAUAAGGAACACGAAACCAUAUUUAAUCACCAAUACCACAUAUAUCAUGAAACAUUGUCUAAGUUCUUAAAGGGACAGCUUUAGGAUAGCCUCCAGCACUUGUGUACGAACAAAGUGUUUACUAAGCUCACAAAGGAACACUUUUGUUACAUGCUAUACUUUGUUCACAUACAUUUCUAUCUAUCUCUACAGGUUGCCAGCUUGAAAUCUUAGAAGGGUCACAAAUCUGUAGAUGAAGUAAAAUUAGCAACUUGUCUAGUCUGAAUACAACAGCUGCUAGGGAAACAAAUAUGAUAUGCACCAUAGACAAGAACUUAAUGUAUUUUACAUAUAACCCUUCUCCACAGAAUUCUAGCCACACAAUUUUUUUUUUUUUUUACCAUGACUAAGCACAUGCUCAUACAAGGCUUGGUUUCUGGCAGCUGUUAAGAUGUUUUAUGUUGACUUUUUCCACAUGAAAGUUGAGUGUAUUUGCAAAAUCACUUAAGAACAGAAAACAAAGAAAACCACAAAUCAUAUGGACCUCAAUUCUAACGUUAAACGCCAAGUUGGCAUCUUGUCCACUUUGGCAGAUCAGCCGUGAAUGUUGUUCAAGCACUGUCUUUGUCAAAAAGAAGGCCUAACCCACUGGGGAGAAUGGUGUUCUCUCCUUCCCUGUCAUUAAGAUGACGACAGGAGAAUCCUAAGGAUUCCCAACAAUAGACAUAAAGCAUUCCUUCAGAAACCUCCAGAUGAAUAAACCAGCUGUGUAUGAGGGCCAAAGCACAGGUAAAGUCUAAAGAUGUGAAGUCCUUACCGUAAGAGCUGUUUCCUCCUAACUCAACCAAUCCCUGUCGAAGAAAGGGAGGCUCUUAAGACUCCAAAAGCUAGUUGAAUUGUCAAGGCUCAGGAAGCUCAUGAAACUUAAUAGUCUCAAAAAAGUUACAUGAUUCAAACAGACCCUGACCAACCUUAUAAACCUACUAAACAAUUGCAGGAGAGAAAAGCAAAUCUCCAGUGGAGCUGCCUGCAGUUUGGGCAGGGAGCUGGAUGAAUGCAGCUUUUGUAAAUCAACACACAUGCUCUUCAGUCCAGCAGGAGCAAAUGUUUGACAAGAUUUAAAAAGACUGAUAAUAGCCGGGCGGUGGUGGCGCACGCCUUUAAUCCCAGCACUCGGGAGGCAGAGCCAGGCGGAUCUCUGUGAGUUCGAGGCCAGCCUGGGCUACCAAGUGAGUUCCAAGAAAGGCGCAAAGCUACACAGAGAAACCCUGUCUCGGAAAACCAAAAAAAAAAAAAAGACUGAUAAUAAAUUUUUAAAAAGUGAGUCAUUUUUGUUCAAAGAAUUUCUGUGAAGGAAAAUUCCUUUGACAUGGUAAGAUUAUAGAAGAAAUUCUUGCAAAAAUGUUUAAAACUUCCAUCUGUGAGUGAGGCUGUCUGAACAGAAUUCUGCUUAGCUCCUAGUCAACUAGCUAGUCACUUUGCACUGCUUUGCUCCAGUUCUAUGUGAUAGCUCAGGACGGCUCAUCUUCCUUCAUGGAGGAUAUCACAGUAUCCAAAAUUACCAAAGAUAUCCUGAAUCUCCAGUAUAAAAUUCACUGCUUAUCUUGUUUGGGUUUUUGGCCAGCUUUGUGUUUUGUAGAUUCUUUGAAUAAUUCGGACUCUCUGCUACUCAUCCUUCUGCAUGGUGGAGGCCAGUAGAGAGAGCAGGCAGGGUGGUGGGACGGAGAAUCACGAAUCUGAGCUUGGAUUUUUUCCCCUAUUCAUUCUCUUUUGUCAGUGUGAAGGACUAGCGUAGAAGUAGCUGCUGGGAGUAGCAAAAGUUUGCAGCCAACAGAACCUGACUUGAAAUCGCUCCACUUCUAGAUGUCUAACGAACACAUAAUAACUUACUAAAUACUACAGGGCCCCCAUUGAUUAGUAUAAAACUGACAUAUCAACUCAAACACUUCAGUUCUGAAAUUACCUGUUGAAUUAAUACAGUUGGAAUACAAGGCAAGCUUAGUAGAUACAAUCUGGCAUGAUUACAUGCUUCUUAGCAAACAUAGUUUGUUAUUAGAAUUUCAAAGUGUUUUCUUUUUUUAAUUUUUAAUUUUUUGGAAUUUCAUUCAUGACUAUGCUGUAUUUAUAUCAUUUCUAACCCUCAUUCUUUCUCCUCUAACUACUUCCAUGUCCUCUCCAUCCUCUCUCAAAUUUGUGAACUCUUCUUCUAGAAUAAUUAUUGUUACACACACACACACACACACACACACACACACACACACACACACACAAACUGGAUCCAAUUAGUGUUGUCAUUAUGUUCAAAUGUUUAGGGCUAGCCACUUAGGAUUAGAUACCCUAUCAGCAGUUUCACUACUAAAUUAUAGCAAGUUAUAUAAGUUAUAUACCAUUUUGAUAUUUUAAAAUAACACUGUAAUGUAAAAAGCUAACAUUUAUGCAGUGCAAGCUCUAAGUCAUGUAUAGUAGGAAGUGGUUUCGGUAAUUUUACACAACUUAUCUCGAAUGUAAGAUUUAGACUAAUCCAUUAGAGUAAAGGUUGUUAUUUUUAUUUUACUGAUGAAGAAACUGAGGCUUGCAUACAUUAAGCUAUUUUCCAUGGAUCACACAACUGAAGCAAGCCAGAACCAUAAUAGAUCUGUGUCUGCCUGAGUAAUUUACUUGGCAAUAUGUAAUGUAACUUUAAUCCCCAUUUUCUCUAAGUAGAGUCUUUUAUUCAUUCUACAAAUAUUUGCUGACUUUCUUCAAUAUCUAAAGCAUUGCUUCUCCUAUAUGCCAUGAAGAGCUAUUUCAAAGAUCAAGUGACGUUUCGGCUAGUAAGCUAUGAUUUCCUUCUUCAGAAUAACAACAGCCUUGAAGUAUCCAUUUUACUUGUCAUACUGUUUUCAUUUAGUCUAUACUUAAAUACUUGGCAAGAGCUGGAUUUGUCUCAGAUAAAGUAGGUAUGUGCUAAGUAUACUCUUCUUUUUCACCUGAAUAUUUUGUCUUCUAAAAAUAUUUUAAAAACAAAAAUAUCAAUUUUAGUUCUGUAGACUUAAAUGGAAUUAAUUCUGUAGAAUUAAGUUCUGUGGUUCUAUAACAUAAUAAUAUAAUAUGAUUGAACUUCAAAUAAUUAAUUCCAUUGUUUAAUGCAAUUGACCAACAUAAAUGAAAUUUUAAAAAUAAAAUUCAUUUCAGUAGAUCCUAAUUGUUCAGCUUUCUUAGAGAGAUGCUCCCAUCUUCCAUGGUCUUGAAAUACCAUAUCAUUUAGAUACACAAAUAUUGUUAUAGGACUUAAAAGUCAGGAGAUUGUUGUAACCCAAAUUGGCACUGUUUUGUUGACUUUUUUAACUAGAAAAAAGCCAUAAAACUUAUCCAAUGAGCCAUUUCAUCAUGAUUGUAUGAAGUGGGAAUGACAGAAGGAAAGAGGAAUCAAGAUUGUAUUCAACUCCUUGAUUUGGGAUGCUAGGAGAGCCCCUAUGAAGACACUUUUCAUGACCUUCUGUGUAUUCAAACUCAAAAGGAACUAACACUGCUUCACUUUCCAAAUUUACCACUGUGGGUCAAGUUCAAGAGGGAAAGAAGAGACAACACAAAGCUUCUAAAUUCAGUCAUAAAUUUUCCAUACCACGUCAUUCUAAAAAUUCCUUUCCUCUUUCACUUGAAGGGUAGUAGAAGUUAUUAUUUUUCUAGUCACUGAGGUAGAAUUCAGAAAACAUCAGUGCUUUCAAUUCUCAUCAGUGGCCAGUCAAGAAUGUGUUAAGUUGUUACUGAGUUGGGUCAGAGGCAUUCUUGGUUCUGCACUCAUGAUUGAGGCACUAUGGUACUGUAACGAAAUCAUUUUAGAUGGAUGGAUGGUUUCCUCCCACACCCGGGCAGCCUCAACUGGCUCACUCUAAUGAGGGACCUUGUGAUGUUAGGAUGGAGAACAGUAGAUGUUCAGUGAGUGAACCUCAGUUUAAUUGUCAUUUUUCCUCUGACUCAAGCCGCACACUUGACAGCUGCCAGGAGCCAGUGCUUCUAUUUCAGAACACGAGUGGCAUUCCGGUGUUACAUUUCAGUUUGUUUGUUCUCUGCCCGGAGUUUAAGACUAUAAGCCUUCUGGAAAGAGUAUGUGGAUUGCUGAAGGUUUCUAUUUUACUCGGUGGGUAAUGGUGCCAUGGAUAUUUUAGCUGCCCUGCUGGAGAAAAGCUGCCCUCAUGCCACUUCACAGUUAUACACGUUCCUGAAGGGCCCCAAAUGUUAACUGUUCUUCUGAUCCCCCAGCAAAGAACGUUGAACAGCUGCUUGGUGAUUGGUCAUAUACGGUUGUUAGGUUCUUUAAUCAUGCACACCACUUAUUAAAUAAUACCUUAUUAACUGGGAUGGUUUAUCUUAUUAUCUUAUCCUAUUCUUAAAAAAAAAAAAAAAAAAAAAAAACAAACCUUGUCUACUGUUCAGCUUAGGAAGACUCCUGAAGAUAGAUUUGUUCCAUUUGUUCCAGCUAAAGAGCAAAAGGAGGUCAUGAAACACCUUAUCUUCCCCACACCAUCCUAGUUUCUUAUCCUUUCAGCCUUUGCCAGAACUCCCUUAAGUAUAAUAAAAUGACAUUCAAACUCCUUUCUCAAAGAAACUAGUGGGGUUUUGCGUGAUUAUAAAAUCAUAUAGCAUUCAAUUUGUCUCUGAAUUUAACACGGACUUGCUUACUCACAGACACUAUAUCUAUGUAGCAGCUGACCAUUCCCAGUCUAGAAGCCCAUAGUUUAUUUUGUAACAUUGAUAAGGGAAUGCUGGAAAGAAGAAUUGUUCCCAUUGAGCUGGUGAAGAAGAAAUGCCAGACGUCCCCCUCAGCACACACACACACACACACACACACACACACACCUUUCCUUCCUUCCUUCCUUCUUUCCUUCCUUCCUUCCUUCCUUCCUUCCUUCCUUCCUUCCUUCCUUCCUUCUUUCUUUCCUUCCUCCUUUCUUCCCUCCACUUUAGUGUGGAUUUGGAGGAAUAGGCAUUCUAAAUAAUUACUUUUGGAUCACAUCUGUGGGGAGAGGGAGUCACUGAGAAAAAUAUUUCUUCAGUUAAGAAAAUGUGCUUAGUAUACUAAAACUUAGCCAGGAUCCAUAAAACAUCCAUGAGACACUGUGAGGACAUGCCCUGCUAAGCCCACAGCAAGGAGGCCAGCCACCUUCUCCAGCAUGCAGAUCAUACAAUAUAUACUAUGGCAUACUGAAUCAUUACAACAAGGACUUAGAGAAACUAUGAGGACAUUCUCUGCUAAGCCUAUAACAAGGAGGCCAUCCACCUUCUCUGAUAUUCAGUUCAUAUAGCGUAGACCAUAACACACUGAAUCAUUACAAGGAUUUGACAAAGUACUUACGGUGGUAACUAUUUCUCACAUAAGCUAAUGACACUUUCAUACGCUUAAUCCAGUAAAGACAUUAGGAAGCUCUAAACAGAACUGUGAGUGUUUGGAUACAGGAUUUGAGAAAAGGUAUAUCAUCUAUUCAACCAAGUAUCAUUAUCUCUAAGAUUCAUACUGCAGUCUUGAGUAAAAAUAAACCUCUUACGUUUCUCAUUUUAAAUUUGCCAUCUUUUUCUUCGUAGGCAACUUGGUUUUAUUUAUACUUCUUCAUAAACAUAUAUUUUCUGUCUUAAACUAUGCCAUCUCUAUGAGUAGACCUCAGAUUUUUCCCUCACUGAAUUCUAAGAUGGCAGUUAUUGCAAAGUGUGAUAAUUUUCAUCUUAGUACUUUAUGAAUUCCUCCUUGUUUGCUGUUUGGUUAUUUACAUGUGCAGCAUUUGGCUCUUAAUUACAUUGUCUCCUUUUAUUCAAAAGUAAAUCAUUUACUAUACCACGUACACUCUGUAAAUGUAAACACAUACCAUUUAAUACAGUGUGUCUAGAAAGUAUAUAUGCAUAUAUGUCAUAUGUAUUCUGCAUAUACUAUAUAUAUUGCAAUGUGAGCAUGCAGCAUACAACACUGUGCCAGAAAUAAAGUGGUAUCCAAUAUUUGUUGGCCUGAGUUGACUGAGAACUAUCUCAUCUAUGUCAACAAAUAAGAAAAAUAGCUAAUUUUAAGAACUUUACCAAUUUCUAAAAGAACCAGUAAUACAAAAAACAAGAAUUCAUUUUUAUUUCUUUACUGCUUGCAUUGACAUGAAAAUUUCAUGAGUUUAUGGACUGACCAUGCCAUUUCUUCAAAAAGCCUAGUAAAGGUAUGAGAAUACCAGCAUGUGCCUUUCCUAGAAAUAAACAUUUUAAACAGUGAAAUGAAUUUUGAGUAAAGCUUUAUGUGUGAGAUAUAGGACGCAGAAGUGACAAGUUGAGAAAUGAAGACAGAUGGAGCAAAAGUGGAGAAUUUAAAAUUCAAAAAAAUUAUGAAGGAAACACGUCUAAAAUUGGGAAAGAGAACAAGAAUAUUGUUAGUACAGCUUGAAACUGACAUGUCCCAGGCAAGACUACUCCUGGCUAAGUCUAUACAUUCCAUACUCCCAUAGCAAUUGGUUGGCUUUGUAAAAUACCAUUUACAAUAUCUCUAAUUAUUUGGUUAUUUAUCUCCCCACACACAGUAAGGAGACUGUGGGCUUUGAAAAAUAUUAUCUUAAUGCCUAAUACAGUACCUUUGACUUUGGACAAAUGAAAAUAAACAGUGUGGAACAUUUUGUAAGAAGAAAAGAUAAAAUGAUAGAAUUACUAAAGGAAGAAGAGAACAAAUGCAUAAGAAGUAUAUUCCUGGAAAACUUAUAUUAUCAAAGCUACCAUGUGUUGUUAGGUUCUUAAAUUCCAAAAUUAAUGCAUUUCUCACCAAACACAGCAGGACAAAUUACAAAUACAUUAAAAUCUGGCAGUCAUUUCUAAACUUGAAACUUUGUUCCCAAACUUCUUUUUUUAAUUUAAUUUAAAAGUAGCCUUUUCUAGAAAAGAUGUUCUGGCCUUCUGAAACAGAAUCUUUCGAGUGUAAUGUCUUCUGUCAUUUAAGAGCAGGUCUGUUGGUUUCAGUUAUUCCUAUGGAAAGCUAUUUCAUCUGGGUUCAGAAAAUGUGUUCAGGAUGUUUUUAUGCAUUUAUGUAAUGAAUGCCGUUAAAGAAGUCAUCAUACUUGCCUCCUGAAAGUAUUCAUUGUUGAGAUAAGAAGCAUUCCCACCACAACUGAUCUCAUAAAUAAACAGUAGCACACAAAACAUUAUUCUUCCAAAAUGGCAGAGUGCAUAUUACUUCUGAUAUGGCUGACAGCUACUGUAAAGUUUAGUUAUUAAUGCUCAUAUGAACACAGCACAGGCUUUGCUGAUAAAGAGUAGAAGAUAUAAGGUAGCUUAGGGGUAUAGCUUAGUUGUACAGCACUUGCCAAACUUGUAUGACAUUUUGGCUUCAGUCUCAGCACCAUAAAAGAAAUAAACAACCAUGCAUAGUUACAUAGAACUCUAGCUUCUUUUUAUACCUUGGUUGUACUAUUCUUCAAAAUGACAACUUGUUUUGACAUUGGACUGGAGGUGGCAUAUUAUAUCCUACUUUCAAGUCUCAACCAUAUGACAAGAAAUGCAUGUGUGAUGAUAACCAUGGUGCCAAACUCAAGUUCAGAAAUGUAUGAAAUCAAAAUCACAUGCAUAAGUCUGCGUGCAUCUUAAAUUGCUCAGAGUCUCAACCACAAAAGCACUUCCCUGUGAGCUUCAGUGUCUCCAGAUAAUUUCAAAAGUUAGCCCACAGACUCACAGGGAGGGACAUAUUACUUUGAGGUAUUUCCCACAGUCAAAAAUUAUGUUCAUGGCCUGGAAGGAUCAGAAAUCUAACCUAUUUUGAAACAAACAAAUGCCUCAAAGGUGAAUUUGCAACCCCAAAAGCUCAAAAUAAGUGUUAAAAAUCUUAGAUGGUCUAAAACACUCUGAAGGGAAAGCCAGGCCAUUCUUACAGCAGGGCCCAAAUCACAAUCAGAAAGCUAAUUGGUGAUUUUUAAAAUAAGAGAAGGGAGUUCAUAUGUUAAAUAAACAAUACAUGAAUAGAACCAGAUUCUAGCUUUGCUGUGUCCUGAUUUCUCUUCACAUUUCAUAGUGAAGUUAGGUGGCCUACCAGAUUCACAAGGCAGCUAAGGGCCCCCUUUAUGACAUGUGUAUUGGCCUGUUGUGGCUGGCCAAUUCCCACUCUGAUUGACAUGCUGAUAUAUAAUUCUGAGAUACCAUAUAUGACUUAGCCUAAAGUCAUAAAUGCUCUCUAUGCCAAUGUUCUUCCAAGGCAUCACAGAUUACUUCUUAUAUUGUUUUUGGUUUUGUUGUUAUUAUUUCUUUUCCAGUCAUAUAAUCACUAUCAAACUAGUCAGAGUCUCCAUCAUUUCUAAAACUAAUUUUUUACUUGGCAUACAAAAAAAAUGUGUUUCACUGUGACAAUUUCAUAGACACACACACAAACACACAAACACAAGUACAAAUUUAAGUAGCCUCUAAUAUCCUUGUGGCAAGGUCCAAACUGGUCUACUUAUUGCAAAUGUGCCCUGCUGUGCAACUUCAAUUACUACUAUACAAACCUAUAAUAAACUGUUUUUAUUUACAUUAUUUUUUAUCUUCUCAACUUCAUAUAUUCUCAAACUCUCAUGAUUCCUAGUAGCUUCAAAAUUUGUAAUUAUUUGUCUCAUAUUCAAAUUCUUUCAUAUCUGGGUCUAAUUUUUUAUUUUUCUAAUUCACACUAUCUUCACUUUAUCGAGUGCUAUUUUCUCGCUUGUGCCUUCUGAAAUCCAUGCCUCAGCUCAUUCCUGAGAUUAAGAAAACAUCUGCCUUCUCUGGGAAAAUACCUCUGUGGCAGUCCAAGUGUGAAAAGGGCACUUCAGUUCUUUAGCUUCACUUCCAUUAGUUCAUCUGGAAGUGGUUGUUUGUUCAGAACUCCAUGUAAAAAGCACUUAUGCCAAACACCAACACAUUUUCUUUCUUCAUUAUCUUGCUAUCAAGAGGAUUCAAGAAACAAAUGUUUAGAAGUGAUUCCAUCUGCUUGAAGGUAAAAUUGUUGUAAUUCUUAUAGCCUAAGAUUGAACUUGACAAACAUUGCCCUUAAUGUUUGAGAGAGCUUGACAUGUCUUGGGAUAUUUAUUGGUAUUUAAUAAUGUCUUUUUCUGGGGCUUUGGAAUGAUUUCAUCAACUUAAGAUACCCUUCAAUAUUUAUCUUUUUCUUCACCAUUUAAUAUUACAGAUGAAAAU